GUCUGACAGCAGCGACCGGCUCCGCAGGGCCGCCUUCCCGUCUUGGAAACGUGCCCGGCGGCCGGCCCCGGGCCGGGCAGCCCCCUCGGCGUGAGGGGAGGCGGCACGGCCCCCGCUGCAAGCGUUUCGCCGAAAACACCUCAAAUGGAGGGACGGGCAGGGGCUCCCCGGGAAGGGGAGAGGGCCUGGCCGCGGAUCGGGCUCGCCCAGCGCGUUCCUGGCGGAGAUGGAAGGCGCUGGCAGGGGUCGGGGGUUGUUUGUGUCAGGGAAGGAAGGGAGGGACCACAGCAGGCCUUGCUUGUGCGGUGGGGAGUGAGGGGUGGCGAGGCUUGCACCGGUCCUGCGGUCCCGGGGGUGCCCCUCGCUGCCGGCCGGAGCUCAGCUCCGCUCCGUUCGCUGGUGGGACUCUUCUCCCAGAGCCUUAAGGCACUGCUGAGUACGUGAAGAGCAAUGGGUCGUGAACUGGGCUGGACCCCGCGGGAAGCCCAGUGCACAGAGCAAGGCAGGUCUGGUGAGCCUGUGCUAGCAGGGCUGACCUGGCACCUUGUGCUGUGCAGUUGGGGUUUUCUAGAGUGUUGCGUAUGGAAGCAUUCCUCUGUCUAUGCUCCAGUCGAGAAACAACAAAAGUAUAAGUAAGUUUAGAACAUCCUUUUCAAAGGCAGAGCAGAGCUUCUCAUGAAAUAUAGAUGACAGAAGAUAUUGGUUACAGAAACUGUCAUGGCAGAGGCGAUCACUGAAGAGCAUUACAGGUUGACUUGACCAGCAGUAAUCACUUGUGUCAAAGACAACUAUUCACUGUGAAUGCUUCGAAGGAGUUCUUUGUCCAUUAUCAUAGUUCUAACAAAGCUCUCUAGCCCUUGGUUAGAUUUAGUUGAUCACACUCAAACAUUAGUUAGUUGAUCACGUUCAAACUUUGGCCCAUUUGGGAAUUAAUGUAACAGUCACAUGAAGUAAAAUGGAGAGGAAGCUAAAUGACAUUUUUAGGUUGGCUGUGCCAGCAUCCAUGUUUUCAGAGUAGUUCACCUGGUGGCUCCAUGUGAGUGUGGGAAGAGGCUGGGGAGAGAAUUGCUGCAUACAAUUUCCCAAUAUUUUGCUUUUUGGUUAAUGGCCUUCAGAAGGUACUCAGUCCAUUUUAGCUAACUGUAUCUUUCACCUCUUUCUGAUACGACAGGCGGCACUGUGUUGUCAGCAUUACAAAUGCUAGGGUGCAGGCUCUGAAACAUGGAAAUGCCUUUUUGCCCUCUAUCCACUGACAAACAAUGAUCACCCAUCAGUGCUACUAAAGUAAUUUUAGUUCGCUCUCCUUCCCUGACCUGAAUUCAGAGUCAUGAAUUCAGUUUCAUAGAUGCUAAUUUCAGUCGUCUAACUAACGGCAUCUCAGAAUUUAUCCAGUCUUCCAUUAGCAUGUGUUGUUCACUGAGUGUCAUUCAGUGAAGUGUUUGGGACAUCUUCAGCAAUGUGCCACCUGAGUCCUUAGCAGGAUACAAACCCUUCAAAAACACCUUCUCUGGGGAACACAAAUAGCUGCUCAUUGCAAAAUCACCCAAGAGUGCAACGUGCAGAGUGAAUGGCUUCCAUCUCCACAGCCUAACGUACACUGCAAAAUCUUUUUCCUAUCCCCAGAGACCUAGAAAGUUACUCAUACAGGAAGAUCUUUUCUAAUCCCCAGAUACUGUAAAACAUAGCAGCAAAAUCCCUUUCAUCACACACAAACACACACAGCAAAAUGCUAGUUCUGCUGUAGAGAUGUAAAACUUGCAGCAAAUUCUUGUCCCCUAUUUCUACUUCCCUCUAGACAGACAAAACAUUUUGCAUCCCAGUCUUAUAGAUAUGACAAAAUACUUGCACAAACACAUUAAGAGCACUUCAUGAAUGCUGGCAACAUCCCAGAAACAUUGUAAAGGGUGGCUAAGAGGUCAGAAUUCUGAAUGCCAGAUCCCUUGUUGUUGAACACACAACUACAGCACAGGUAAGCAGGUUUAGUUCAGCACUCUGCCAGGCAUUUUCAGUUUUUAUUUGAGUAAGAGCAAAUAAGUAGGUCAUUUGUCUUUCCUCAGAUGGCAUUCCUCACUGGAACAGAUACAACUGCAAUGUGAAUGGAGAGCUAUUCUCAUAUGACUCAGCAAGAGAGACUGCCAUUUUGACUCACAGGACCUGAGGUCAGCCUGGAGCCUCCCAGUCCGUAAGCCCUGAGAAUCUCCAGGAAGCUGCGGCAGCAGUCGAGGACUGAGGACCAGCAAGGCCCUAUGGGCCACCUGCUGGAAGGAAAACAGGGCCUGUCCAUGGUGUGACCUUACCCCAAAUCUACCCAUGACAGCUGUGUGUUACACCUGAUAACAUCCCAGCAUCCAAAUGAGCCUACUACUCUUACCAAACCUGGAUGGAUGAAGCAGAAGGCAAGUUUGAGGAAUAAGUAUUGCAUUUUUAUAUUGAAUAAAUUGUAGCUUAGCAGUUGCUAUUACAGACUAAGUAGGAUCUAAAUUACUUAACACCCAUGCAACUGUGUCUGUUCUGUUCUCUUUUUAGUCUACUCUUCUCCUUAAUCUCUUUUUAUAUAAUCUCUAUUUUAAGUCAUACUGUGCAUAUUCAGUAACUAUGUUUUCUUGCUGAUCACCAAAACCUCAGCUACCGCUAGUUGCUGGGGAGGUACCAGACUCCCUGCAGGGAGAGCAACAGGGGACUGUGCUACUCUGAAGGGUUAGGGUACCUCAUCAAGAACUAGGUAUUACAGCAUUUGUGGAGGGUCACCAGAGGCUGAUAGCCUUCUUGUCAUACUAUGAAGUGCAGUAGGCUGAAAUGACUUGUCUAAUCUCCUAAAGCAAGGCAGUGACAGAGCUGGAAAUAAUCUCUGAAGGCAAAAGCUCUUUGUAACAUAUUUUCUGCAAAUAUUGCAUUAUUUGGAUGGUUUCCAGUUGAUUAUUGCAAAUAUAAAAAAAUAAAAUUUCUGCGUUACUGAGCUUCCGGGGUCCACAUUUGAUUUUAAAUCCAAGGAUGUCUGUGUCUGUUUUAUGCUACUAUUCAUCUACUGUCUUAUAUCCACCUUACAAGUAAUUUUUAAAUUUUCCUAGCUGUAACUCCACUGAUUCUAAUUUGUUGUAACUUACAUUCGAAAGAGAAAGGACAGACUAGGGUCCAAUAAAAGCAAGUAACAUGAAGAUAUAAGAAGGCAAUGACUAAAGCAUGGUGGGAACUUCUACCAUUAAUUUUAUGCCUUAUUUAGUGCACCUUAUUCUAGUUCCUUGGUAUCUAAAUGACACAAGUUAGAAGUCCCUUAUACUCCCCAAGACUCUGAGACAAUCUCUAAGAUUUUCAUCUGCUUGAAGUCACUGGCAAAACUACUCUGGACUUCAGUCCAGAACUUAUCUUUUGUACUUCUGUGUACACUUGAUAGCCUAAAACUUAACUCGCAUUAUUCAUCAUCUUUGUUUUUCCCCUAGCCUUAGAAAUGGCUUAGCCAGAACAAACAGUGAAUGUCCUGCAGAGUGGUUUUAGAUUCCAUUAAGUUAUUCUCCCCUUUCUGCAAAAACAGUAUCAUCCUGUCAUGAUCUGAAUCAUGUUUUGACCCCAAACUAGCAAAGCCCUAGAUCACUACACAGCUGCAUUAAAACCAAAUUACUAGGUUGCAAUUACCUCUUAAGGAUUAUGUUACACAUUUUAUUUAGUUAGCAUUUCCUUUCGUAACUUACUUUUUUCAAAGCUGUAAACUUGUUCAUUAGCCAGCAUACCACAUAUCUGGCUAAUUUGGAUGUCUGCCUGUAAUAAAUAUUAGGGAUAUCAUGCAGACAAACCAAAAUUUCUAACACUUCUCAAAUGCCAGACUGUCUUCAAAACUCAGAAGAAAGGUUACUGCUGUCUGAACAUUUAACAAAAUAAUUUUUAAGAAAGAGAAGAUGCUUGGGUAAGAUGGAUAUAUUCACAUUUCCUGCAUGUACCUUCUGAAGUAAUUCAGGAACUAGCCUAAGCAAGCACUGAAUCGCUUCCAGGUAUUUCAGGUAUCUUUGAAAACUCAUGAAGGACAGUGGAAACAGUAGACUGAAAAAAGGAAACAUAACAGCUUUUAGGAAAAAAUGAUAGAAGAGAACCCAAGGUAGCCAGGUAGCCUAACUAACUUCCACCCCUGGAUUCUGGAACAAAUUAUUUAAUAAGCGGUUUCUAAAGGCCUAGAACAUGAUAAGGUGAUAAAAACUUGCUGACAUGCCUCUUUCAAGAACAGACCAUGUCAAACCAAACUAAUUUUCUUCUUCCAUGUAUUGCCUACUAGAUACAGAUGAAGCUGGAAAAAUGACUCACAUAGAUUUUAGUAAGGCUUCUGAGUCUGUUCCCUGUUGGUUUAUAUAAGUAACUAAAGAAGUAUGGCCUAGAUGAAAUCCCUAGAAGGUAAGGAUAGAUGAGGGCAACAGAUCAAAAAAUACUGUGUUGGAAAGUGGUUAUUGGUUAUUGACUCAAACAGUCAAUUUGAGAUGGCAUUUCAUGGAUGCUUUAGGAAUUUGGGACAGUUCUCCUCAAUGUGAUGGGAUGAGUGACUAGACUGUAUGCUUAUAAAUUACAAAAUUUAUGUUAAGUUGGAAGAAGUUGGAAAUACACUGGAAAAAGGGAUCGGAAUGGUAAAAUGGUCAAAUUUUCAGACAUGGCUUAAAAUGAACAAGUACAAUAAAUGCAGGUUCUUACGCUGAUGAAGGAAGAAUCUAUUGCACAGAAGCAAAACAGACAAAAAAACACAGAUGGGACAGGAAGACUCCAGAGGAGACUUCAUAGAUCUAAAGAGAUCUGUAAAUGUGAUCAUGUGACCUAAAGCCAGUUCUCAUGUAUGUUAUGUACUGUCAGGGAGAUAGAAAGCUUGAAUACUCCACUACAAAUGAUAGAACACCUCACAUUGGAAAGGACCUUGAAAGAUCAUCUGGCUCAACCUCUCACAGGAAAGGAAGCCUCAAUGAGAUGCUUUCCAGGGGCCUGAACUGGUUUACUGUCUCCAGUUUGGGACAUUAAACUUUUAAAAAAAAUAAAUAAAUAGAAGUGAGUUCAGCACAGUGUAACAGUAUAAGACAAAAGGAAAAAUUGCAAUUUUGUUUAGAUAGUGGGAAAUUGAAGAAGGAAGUACUGACAUCUCCCAGUAUGGAAAAGACUUUUCUAAGAAGAAUAGUGAUCAGUUGUUCUUCAGUGGCAAUUCAGGGAAAAGCAAGGAGAAUCAGCUCGAUUUCCAGGUUAGAAAAAUCAUUUUUGUUAUGAAUGUAGGGAAGCAGUGGAACAAGCUGUGCAGAAGGGCUGCAGAAUACCCUUCAUGGGAAAUCUUUUUCUGGACAAAUUAAGUAACUAUCUCUUGGGACUGUUCUUUACAUGUUUCAUUCUGCCCCAGUGCUGUGGUUUGAGAAAGUGAUCUCUUGAGAUCCCUCCAGCCCUAAAUUUCUGUGAUUCUGUGAAAUUUGUACAUAGAUGUGCAAAUGAGACCAAAUGGAUCUUUAAAGUUUUCUUUCCCUGUGAAAAUGGAAUGGGAAAAUUCUGUAUGAGUCUGGCCCUUAGUUUAAUUUCUUAUAUUAAAUCUUGAAGUAUGACGAUUGUAAUAUUUUUUGUUGCUAGACAUAGUUGAUUUUUUUAAUCUCAAGCUUUCUAUCUAAUAGGCAUAAAUAAAAAUUUGCUCCCCUUAGAUGUGCUGAUGUAUGGAUAUCCAUAAACAGAAGUGAUGCAGCUUGGUUCAGGUGAUUGAGUUCUGAGCCAAAGGACAAGAAUGCCAUUAUUUGUACUUAUAUUUCCACUGGUUUCUCUGAGUCCUUUAAUGUGUCAUUGAAGUCGUCUGCCCUGCCUUCUCCUAUGAAUUCUGGAGUUAUAAUACUGAUACUGUACAAUACACAACCCUAUUGUCAUAUAGGUAAUAAUAUUAUGUGUUAGGCUUAUGAAUAUGAAGUAAGGGUUUACUGUCAACCACAUCCUUCAUUCUAGCAAACCAGAAAAAUGGUAAGAUGUUUACUCACAAAAGGGAUCUUGCCUGGUUUCUUCACACUUGGUAUUACCUUGGCAGUUGUGAAAGCAGAAAUUACUGCUAUUGUUUUACACAAAAACAGAGAUUCUGCAAGAGAAAAUUUAAGGUAAUUUGGAACACUUUGUACUCUUCAGAAUUGGCCACAUUUUCCCUGCCACCCAAAUUAUUGUAAAUUGUAAGUAGUUUUGCAAUGCUGUUAGCAUUAUUUUCUGAGCUCACCGAAAUUUUUUUCGCAAGACAUAUUAUCUAUGAUGAAUCACAGCAUCUUUUAUUAAAAUAGUUAUAAGAGCAUUAAAGCUGUCAGGUAUAAUUUGCAGCUUUUUCUCCUUUAGAUUCAGCACUCUUCCUGAAACAAAGUUAAUUUAAUAACUAGGGAAUCUAAGAUACAAUCAAAUUUAUUAUAUUUACCAGACUUGAAUUUCAGAUGAGAUACCAUUAAAAUGUACUUGAAGAGGAAAGAGCAGAACUGCCAGUGGGCAUUGAAUUAGCAGACUGAAAAUGUCUAAUAAUGUUGUGAUCAAGUGUGUUAUGAUGAUGAGAAAAAGAGGAAGAUGAAUUCUGUUUUUCUUCCUCUGUAUCUUUUACAUGUUCUGCAAGCUGAAAUGAAGGCUAAAAUGUCAGCCCAAAGCUUUAGUUGAGGGGAAGGAGUAUUUUUAGAUUUUUCUGUGACUUACAGUAUGCCUUUUUAACCUAGCACUGCAAUUCUGCCUGAAAAUGUCUAAAUUACGGCUAGAGAAGUAGAUGCUGUUGCUUAUGUGCAUAUAUGAGCACUUGCCACUGUACGCUGCAUACCAGAUGUCAUCCCGUGAGUUCUGCAUCUGCAGAAUUUCUGCUGAAUUCUGAGUGAGGUUUGUGCUUGGAAGACUUCUGGAUCAAGGUUUUCCCGUCAGAAAGAGCUCAGUAAAAGGCCUGUUCAAAAAAAACAAACAAAAAAAUCGCAACCAAAGAAAGAAACAAACCACCCAAAAGCAGUCUUUUCCUGUUGCUGACAUUAGUCUCCUCUGAGUCUCAGUCUCCCAACCCCCUUAACCAAGCUUGUGAUAUUUUAGUUGGUAAUAUGGCCUGCUAUUUUGUGAUCACAUUAGUUGCAUUUGUACUGUGGAGAUUGUUAAUUCCAAAAGGUGCUGCUGGCUUUUGUGUACACUAUUUAAGCUUAAGCAGAGUUUUUGCUUUUCCCAAGGACUUCCACUGACUUUCAUAUAUUUGAAAUCUGAAGUUGUGGUUCUCUGAUUUAUUGUCUGUUAAAGAAUGUUGGCUGUACUAAAAGUAGCAAGGGGAUUAAACAAGAAUAAAAAAGCAGUAUUCCAGAGAACCAGGAUACCAUAAAAUAUUUAUUUCCUGAAGGUACGUUGCCACCUAGCAAACACUGAGAAUAAUGGUCCCACAAAUAGAAAAAAAGAAAAUCCAAAAGGCCUAGGAAAUUUUGCUUGACUUUCAAAAGCUUAAUUGAAGAAAGAACUUGAGGUUUGAGCAUUCCUGCUGAGCUUUUUGCACAAAGAGAUUGUCCUCUGUAUGGCACAUCAUCGGCAGGACAGAAUAAGUCACCUGGCUCUGCUGUAGCUCUAACCCUCCGUAGCUGAGAAUGUUCAUAUCAGGAAGAGGAGGAGGAGGAGGAUGCAUUAACUCCUUCUGGCAUUUCAGAAGAUAUGUAUGCUACAAUGCAGAGCCCUCCAUGCUGAAGGUAGCUUUGACAAAGAGGUUAGGGCACACGGGCCAUAGGUAGGUAAGACACAGGGCCUCGCUCUAGAAUGCCGUAGUCUUUUAGUGUCUGUUUUACACACAUAGUUCCUUGAGGGAUCUCAUAGUUUGAGAAUGACAAAUUUGAUAAAAAAAUGAAAGAGGAUCAGACUGUUACACAAGAAGAACUAAAUGAACUUUUAGUAGGAUUAGAUGAAAUGUUGUAAUACCCAGUGCAAGGUCACUGGGUAUUAUUAUUAAGGGCAAAAUACUAGAAUUUCUGCUCUAAAAAUGCUUAGUGAUUAAGACCUUGAGGACUCCAUACAUGAAUGAGUAUUUCCUGCUUCAGUCAUCAAACAGCCACACCAAAGCAUGACUAAGAUGAAAGGCAAGGCUGUGGUGGAAUGUGGAGCUGAUGAGAUAGCUCUGUACCGAGAACAGAACUGGAGAUGAAAUCUCAGGUGACUGAAUUGGAUUGAUUGCACCUUCCUGAAAAGGUAAAAAACCAGGGAAGGGUAAGAGCCUUUCAAUAAUUAUAAGAAAUAAGAAGGAAAAAACAAAACCCAGAAGACAAGACGUGAAAACAGCUCACAUGACAUUGCAAUCUUACAGCUUAUGCUGUCAGCAAAAAGAGAUUGGAUGGAUUUCUGCACACUCAACAGUAAUUGCCAUACAGCAGCAGUUAGUACUAUUGAAAUGCUGGAACUGAUGGGAACCAACUAGGCUGUAGUGACUGGGAACAGAUGUCUUCAGAAGAGCGUGAGACAGCAUUCUGCGAUGUGAAAGAAAUCCUUGUCUGUCAGUCUAAACUCAUAGUUUGAUUUGUGGACUGGGACAUGUAUCUCUCAUUAGAUAGGAAUUUUAGCUUUUCCCUUCUUUUGUGUCAACAGGUACCCAGUCUGGUACUCAGUGAAGCUGGAACGGUCUUUUUUGUAAAUGCAGCCUAAUGGCUGUUAAUUUUCAGCAGUUACAUACGUUCUAAAUGCCAGCACUAGGGCUAGCAGGGGUGCCUGCACUUGUGAAUGAAUAUAUUCACGAGUGCAAUGUCAGGCACAGUUCCUCUCCAGCCCAGUGUGAAUUCACGUUUUGUCAUGAUCUAGGUGUAAGAGACCUUGAGCUGAGCUGUUUACAUUCCCCCUUGGAGUAAGACUGGAAAUCGGUAAGCUUAUGCAGUUCUAUACCAUCAAGCACUUGCAACUGGAGCCACUUGUGUGAAGCUGCCCUCCAGGAGGUUUGAGGUUGCUGCCUCGUUAUUUGCCUAGUGGACAGAAGCAGGAUUUGAGUUUGCAGCCUGCCAAGUGUGGCUGAAGCCUUGAGGGUCAAAGCACGCACAUUCAGCCCCAGUCAGGAAGAGUCCCUGAAUAUGCAAUAGCUGCAAGCUUUAUGCCCAUGCUGCCCAUCUAAAGUGAGGGGGGAGGAGGCAGACUGCUCUGUGUUUAAUAGGGAAAGGAGUAAAGACUGUGAUCUCUGUGCAUAAAUGCUGUUCAAAAGAUGGAAAAAAAAAAAGUCAUUUUACAACCUUCUGCUCAGAAGUAGUUUAUCUAAGGACUACUCUUUAAAGGAAUUGCUGGUAAGGUCAGGCUGGAAGGCCAGUUACAGGCAAAAUUUAGUAUUAAACUAAUGUUCUUUGUCUCGUGGUGUAUAUUGCAUACAGGCUUGCUGCUGUCUUGUUGCUUGCACCAGCUUUUCUUCUCAGUUUGCUUGAGAAGAAUCAUGUGAAUGAAAAGGUACCAUGAAUAAAAAAGUACCAUGCUUAUCA